UUCGUUAUGUUGGUGUAUGUCUGGUUUAAUAUUAUUGUUUAAUAAUUUAAUUUGUGUAUUGUUAAAUUAAGCCAAGUCUAUGUGCUGCUUAUUAAAGUAUUCAUGCGUUACAUUUAUAAGGUUACAUUUGUAAAAAUGUAAUAUUCAGGACUUAAAAGUAAUAUUAAAUUAAUUUGUUAGUGUGAAAAAAGUUUAGCUCAGGUACACACCGCCCGUCACCCUCGGUU
rnacentral:rRNA from 1 species